GACAGAGGGCGCAAACGUUGUUCGGAAUUACUGGGCGUAAAGCGCGUGUAGGCGGCUCGGCAAGUCGGGUGUGAAAGCCCUGGGCUUAACCUAGGAAGUGCACUCGAAACUGCCAAGCUUGAGUUCUGGAGAGGAAGGCGGAAUUCUCGGUGUAGAGGUGAAAUUCGUAGAUAUCGAGAGGAACACCGGUGGCGAAGGCGGCCUUCUGGACAGCAACUGACGCUGAGACGCGAAAGCGUGGGGAGCAAACAGG
rnacentral:rRNA from 1 species